CCCUGUAUAACGUUAUUUGGUCUGAGCCAACAUGGCAAGGUUAGAAGUAAAUGCAGAUGGAGGCUGACCAGAGCCCCCUGUGCUGCUACAAAUGUUGCGUCAAAUGGACACAGUUCCCCGUCACCUCUCAUCAGUGGAGCCGGUUUGGGCCCAACACCCCCGAAGACUGACUCCUGAGCACUACAUGCACAAUUUUCUGGCACCUUGUCAGGGAAGAAGAGAUGCCCUGCACCGGACGGGUCGCUAGUUUUGUAGUCAUAUUCUCAUCCGUUAAUUACGUCGGCUUGACCAGUGUCAGACGUGACCAGUGUCUGUAUUGUUUAUGGUAGUAUCGGAAAUAAGUCCUAAUAUCGUAGUUGUUAAUGUUUUAGUCGGAGGAUAGCACAGUUGCAGUACUAGUACGUGGUGUCUGUUGGAGUUUUUCCUGUGUGACGAUCUGGGCGCCACAUGUGGUGAAAGCCGCUCGUCCAAUAUCGGGCCCUAAACAGCUACACGGUCUAAACAAACUCCCGAUGUGCGCGGCUCGUCAGAAGGUGGCCGUGUAAGCACCUCGUUAGGGCGCGGAUAAGUGGUUUAGCCAGGGGCCCCGCCCUUCCCGCGCCGACGGGUGCGAGCGUUCACCCUCCCGGGGAUGGGCGCCAGCAGUCGGACAGACCUGUACUGCUCCGUCCCUGUGUGUAGUUUGUCUCUACCAGACUCCAUAGGUCGCUGGCUGUACUACUCCGUCCCUGUGUGGAGUUAGUCUCUUCCAGACUCCACAGGUCGCUGGAAAAACCGUAGAAAUGGAACUAAGCAGGCCAGAAAAGUACAGCCGACUAGGGAACAGCGCGCGGCCGUACUUCUCUUGUCGGCCAACUUUUCAAUUUGUUCCAUUUCUACGGUUUUUCCAGCGACCUAUGGAGUCUGGUAGAGACUAGAAUAUAGUACGGCCCGACCAAAGAUGAGUCACCUGUGACACAAUGAUGGCACGAACAUUGCACAAGCACCUGUCACAGCACACUGACUCACAGACGAUAUUGUCACUUUCGUCGAACUGGCGUCCUAGUCUCCCGUGUACUUAUAUGCUCGGCACUUUUGAAACGUCUGGCCUUCUUUUUUAUCCAUGACAUUUGGUACAAGUAAACUACUGGCCUUGCUUGGAAAAACGCCACGGGGGUACGCAGCGGAGGGAUGCUUCAAGUCGGCCUGACGGGGUCCUGUAGUCAAUCUGUGCCGCGAACACUGGUCUAUGACCUGCACUUUUUUCUAGCCUGGUAGAUACGGACGGACGGUGUAUUUCAGAGCGCCAUUUUCCACAUGAGAGUUUUAGCUUCAAACGGAAAGUGAAGGUUUUGCUAUUGUCGGCAAUACGUAAUAUUAAUUUUGAACGUUUACAGUUUUCAGAUUUCGUCAAUCUUAUUGUUCUGAACUUCACUAUUGGGUAGGCUUGCACAAGAGAAUCAAUGCAUUGCGGUCGGGACUACCUACUCAUCAACCGUCCUGUUCAUGUCAUUCCGCAUCUGGAGUGACGUAACGAGGAGACCAUGUUCUUAGAUCUUCAGCCGAGUCAAAAUCGUCUGAACUUUACUGUAAAGGACAGAUCUGAUGGAAAAUAUGGCCAUGUGGAGGGAUGAAACGGAGAACGACGCAAACGAGCAAAAUUCCGGUCGCGCUGGACUGACCAGCGCGGCAACUUUGUUGGUGUCGAAACUCCUUUGAUUUCCGACCCGUGUUAUUUGAUUUCUGGUGAACUGUUUGAGAUGUGAUGGCUGCCGUUAGCCUUUGACAGCUGAGUUCCAAGUGAUCCGUCGCUUUGAAGCGGUGUGUGUGAAGAAGGAAUGGUGGAUCUAACGUGGUUCUCCGCGCUCGGAACUUUGAUUCCUCGACCAUGAUAUUGAAUUUAUUCGUCUUUUAAACAGAACUCUACCGUAGCUAAGGGGCUUACUUCGUUACGUUUUCACUUUGGCUUCAUAUGUCGUGUCUCAGGACGUCAUGUUGUACGUUCCAAGACAUGGUUCUGUUUUUUUGUGUGUGAAGAAUAUACGAAAUGGCAUUAACACAUUAACAGUGUUUGUGACAAGAAGUCAACUGUGCUUGGAAACUUAGUCUUGUGAUGCUUGACAAAACAGGAUCAUUAUAACACACUGUACUGGUGUGGUUGGUUCGGUUUGGUCGAACAACACAUUUGACCGUCAAGGGCAUUGCACCCUUUCUAACAAUGCAACUCCAUCUUACUGUCGCAGUGAAGUUCUGUUUGACUUGGCAGAGAUAGCGCUCACAUGACGUGAGGUGAGCGGGGAACGCGUCAGCCGUGUCACCAUGGA